AAUUCGCCCUUUUCCGGUUGAUCCUGCCGGACCUGACUGCUAUCGGAUUGAUACUAAGCCAUGCGAGUCAUUGUAGCAAUACAAGGCAGACGGCUCAGUAACGCGUAGUCAAUCUACCCUAUGGACGGGGAUAACCUCGGGAAACUGAGAAUAAUACCCGACAGAACAUUAUGCCUGGAAUGGUUUAUGUUUUAAAUGAUUUAUCGCCGUAGGAUGGGACUGCGGCCUAUCAGUUUGUUGGUGAGGUAGUGGCCCACCAAGACUAUUACAGGUACGGGCUCUGAGAGGAGUGGUCCGGAGAUGGGUACUGAGACACGGACCCAGGCCCUAUGGGGCGCAGCAGGCGAGAAAACUUUGCAAUGUGCGAAAGCACGACAAGGUUAAUCCGAGUGGUUUCUGCUAAAGAAACCUUUUGUUAGUCCUAGAAACACUGACGAAUAAGGGGUGUGCAAGUUCUGGUGUCAGCCGCCGCGGUAAAACCAGCACCUCAAGUGGUCAGGAUGAUUAUUGGGCCUAAAGCAUCCGUAGCUUGCUUUGUAAGUUCUCGGUUAGAUCCAUGCUCUUAACGUAUGGGCUGCCGGUAAUACUGCUAAGCUAGGGAGUGGGAGAGGUAGACGGUACUCGGUAGGAAGGGGUAAAAUCCUUUGAUCUAUUGAUGACCACCUGUGGCGAAGGCGGUCUACCAGAACACGUCCGACGGUGAGGGAUGAAAGCUGGGGGAGCAAACCGGAUUAGAUACCCGGGUAGUCCCAGCUGUAAACUAUGCAAACUCAGUGAUGCAUUGGCUUGUGGCCAAUGCAGUGCUGCAGGGAAGCCGUUAAGUUUGCCGCCUGGGAAGUACGUACGCAAGUAUGAAACUUAAAGGAAUUGGCGGGA
rnacentral:rRNA from 1 species